UACUCCACCCAGGCCAGGCCCUUCGUGUUCCUUACAGGACUCUUCCAGAACCCUAGGGCCCAGGAGGGUGCCAUAAACUGCUGUCUCUCACCUGUUGAUGGAGCUGACACUGGGGACAGUGUCAUUGUCACAAACGCCUUCUGCCAGGAGCCGGUCCCGGAUCUCCCAAGCAAACAUGGUAGGGUUCUGCCGCUUGUAGUCUCCUAUCUUCUCCACCACCUUGGGGGUGGCCACCUUGGGCUUGGAGCCCCCUAUCACUCCAGGCCGGAUGCUGCCAGUCUCGUAGUACCUACUCCAAUAGAGAACCCCCCAAAAUUACCCAAUAAGCAGGUGGGGCCUUUGAACAUGGACCUGGCCAGAGCCUCUGUCCCCUCUGAGUCUCCUGAGGAGAGGUGUGGAACUGAGACAUGUCCCUCCCCUGACUCCUGCUCAUCUUAACACUGGAUUUCUCUCCAACAAUUCAUUUAUUUGGGUAGAUUUAUGCUACUGCCAAAGCAAGACCCCUCUGCAAAGGCUUCUCCCCAGACCAACUCUCUGUAUUUGCACCAGAAAGCCCACAAAGAUCUCCUUUGUGAGAAAGGAUGUUUCAGUAUUGACGCUGGGGAAUCUCAGGCUUGCAGUGACUGUUUCUCUCAUCCACCUUCCCUUAGCAUGACUGACUCCCUGACUCCCCUGCUUUGUUCUCCCGGCCUAACUCAGGAAAGCCAGCUGCUGUCUUGCUGCGUCACCUUUGCCUUGUCCAAAUCUGAGCCAUCUCCUUCACCCUUUGCUCUCUGGUUUUCUACCAAGUUCCAUGGUCCAAGUUAAAGCUGCUUCUGAAGUCCAGCCUCACUUAGAAUCCCUGACCUGAGUCAACCCCUAAACAUGAGCUCCCUCCUUCAGAGCCCAUCUAACCCACAACUAGCUGACAGAUGAGUGGCUUGAUCAAGACUCUGGUCUUCCUUGUCUCCUCUGGUCUCUUCCACCAAUGAAUAAAACAAAGCAUGAGUCUUUUAAAAGGCCAUUGUCUUUGCCAUUCAAAGUUCUUCCCUAAGAAAAGGCCACUUUCCCUCUAGCGAUUUCAGGCAGAGCCAGGGUUCUCUAUCCUUCUUUGCAGAGCAGCCCCUUCAAGGGAAACCUUGAACCUACAUGUGGGUCUGUGUGGUGGGUUGGAGAGUAAGGUGGACAGGACAUGGAACUCUGGGAUUUUCAAACUCUCUACUUAAAUAAUAUUUCUGAUGGACAUGUCAGAGGCUUUGUGUGCCUUGUCCUUCUGAACCUGUGCCCUGCAGCUCUCAGCCCCAACCGACUGAUAUAAUCAAAAUCACUUCAGUGAGGUGGAGGCCAAUGAUGUCCAUAAAUUCGAGUCCACUCCCUUUUAUUGGCUUGUGCUGGAGCCUAGAUCCUGGCCCUCUGAUUGAUUGUUUAGAGUUUCCUGGCACAGCCAGGGCAGUGAACCACCACGUUGAGUCUUACAGAUGGGCGGUUCUCAGUCCUCCGUGUGUCUGAGUUUCAUGCUUCCUGGUCAUCCUACAAGAGCCACAGGUCUACCUGAGAGGUUUGUUCAGUGGGGCUAUGGAUUUCAUCAAACACUUUAAUUGCUUCUUGUAAAGGAUAAUUCUGAAAGUUUUGCCUUGAAAAACACAAAAUCUGAUGGUACAUGGGCCAGCAGCUAUGAGGUUGAUGACAGAAGACAAACCUUGCAGGGAAAAGUGGUAUAUGGUGAAUUUCGUGCUUACCUGCCAAGGAUCUUGCUUACACAGCCAUGGCUGACACGGAGCUGUCGAGAAAUAUCACAGGGCCUCACGCCCUGGUGGGCCAAGUCCACAAUGCGUUGACGUACAACUUCCGGCAGAGGCCUGCCAUUCACAAAGGCCCCUCCUAGUUGAUUCAGCCCUCCAUGGCCUAAAAAAAAAAAAAGACAGAAUUGUCAGGGACAAGUGUCAGAACCAGGAGAUAAAUGUCAGGUGAGAAUUAGUCUUGAGUAUGAGUAGGUCUGAGGGCAUGGCAGGAUACUCCAUGGUCAGGUCUUUCAGUGAUCCCUCUACUUGCACCCUGUCUUAUCAGAAACACUCCCCUAGGAGGUUGGCACAAGUAAUAUAAACUGCUCAGCCCAUCUGUCUAUGUGAGCGUUCGAAAGAUAUACAUGGCUAUCUGAGAGCCCUUUAUAUCUGUUCCAUCACAUUCGGGAGCCCAGCCCUUUAUGCCACAUAACAUCAAUGCCUCCAUUUCCCCAUUUCCUUCCAUAUGCAGACAUAGUGGAGUGGAGAAGUCAGGGUUUUCUUAAGCUGAAACUGAGCUGAGUGACAGAGAAGAAAAUAUCUCCCUACCCCCUGGACUUUCUUUUCUUCUCAUUGACAUGAAGGUACAAGAUGAGACGGGUGGUCUUUCCAUUUGUCUUGCUCCACUUAAACCACAGAACCAUAUUUUAUAACACAAACACC
ensembl:processed_transcript Gm13415 predicted gene 13415